rnacentral:ncRNA from 1 species
UUAUGACAGAGAGGUUCUUGGUUCUAAUUGUCCUACUCCCUUUUUUACCGCCGCCGCACACAAAAUAUGUAGGACCCCAUGAACUCUCUAAACCUUACAAAGGGACUCUACUUGAAGUAUGUUUUCAUUAAUCAAGAACGAAAGUUAGAGGAUCGAAGACGAUCAGAUACCGUCCUAGUUCUAACCAUAAACGAUGCCGACUAGGGAUCAGAGAGUGUUAUUGGAUGACCUCUUUGGCACCUUAUGGGAAACCAAAGUAGUGGUGACAUGUGAUCACUC